AAGAGAGGGGAAGCUCAGUUUAGAGCAGAGUUUCUCAACCUUGGCACAAGGGGCACUUGAGAGUGGACAGUCCCGUGCAUUUAUAGGAUGUGUAGCAGGCUCCCUGCCCUCUACCACGGGAUGCCGAUAGCACCUCCAUUCCAGUUAUGACCAGUAAACACGUCUCCGCUUGUUGAUAAUAUAUCCCCUGGAGGCGAAAUCACCUCGAGUUGAGAAGCACGGGUUUAAGGGUGGAGGUCCUCCCACUUGCCGAUGCCUCGGACUUAUGUAGCGGAGCAAUAUGGGGAGGAAGCUGGCUGUCUGCAGAACCUCGGAGGCUGCGCUCGCGACCAGGAAAUUGAAGAAAACGCUGUCAGUUGUGUUCUCAGUUGUUAAAGACGUGAAACAUUCCUUUCACUUUUCGUGUGGAUUUAAUAAAUACUCACAGGAAGCGUUA